CUCAACUUCCCUGGUAAGAAAAUGAAAUUACAGAAGUACAGAAAUAGAACAAAAUGGGAGGAAGCUCAUAAAAAGAGAUGUUUUGCAAUGAGAAAAUCAAUGUCACGGAAAUUAUUUCCAAGCAUUGAUCUCGUGUACUUCAAUUUAUGUAUACUAUGAAUCCAUUUCUUGCAACCUAAGUUUGUCAAGCAAAUAAUUAAUUAACACUUCCCACAAUUGAUUGCAAAAAUCAAGAAUUUGUAAUGCUUCUCCCCUAAUAUUUCAAUUCCCAUAUCCCAUACUUUUCUAAAUCGGGAGAGACAGCAUCUCGUUGCUUCCAAUUGUGUCACUGACUGCAAUGUGAAACAUAACAUAAGGCUUUCCGUUUUGGUGAACUUGGAGGAGAUGCACUGCACAUCUAGGCCUCCACUAAUCGUAGAAGAUUUGAUAGAGAGGAAGACACCAUGUGAAUUUCAAAAGUGGUUUGAUGGUUCCGGAGAAACAAAAAUCAUCGGUGAGAAUCCGGAUUCUCUUUGCUCAAGAAAGUUGAUGCUUAAUGUCAAAACAAUCACUACCCAUUUGGAAACAAAUUCUAUAUUAUUGUUGUGUGGCUUGUGCUAGCUAUUUUAUUUAGUAAUCAAUUCACGGAUAUGUGUUUCCAUUAGUUGAAACCACCCUUUAUGAUAUGUGAACCAUGACGAUCCCGCUAAGUCAUAUCAUAGAUUAGAUGCACACCGAUCUAACCUGGACGAAACCAUCUGAUCAAAAAGAAGAAAAACCUAGCAUCAUUAAAAGGCCAGGAAAAGUUGUUUAGAAGGAGAUUAUGAUAGGAUUAUCCACACCUUCAUUGCUAAGCUUGCAAGGAAAGAUAGUCAUUGACUUUGACACAGUGGAGAACAUUAUAUAAGACCAAGUGCAUGUAGGAGGAUGAUUGGGAAUAAUUGUGUUUGCAAUAAACUAAUCCUCUGCCUAAUCAAACACUAACCCGAACGACAAAGAAAAUAAAAAGGGUAGGCAAUAAAUAAAUGAAGCUAAAUGGCACUAGUGCAUGUACCCCACCUCUCAUUUGUAAACUAGUGGAUAUAAAAGCAUGACUAACACUAUUGCUGAUUCUGAUUUAUGGGCGUCCACAUGUAGGUUGAUGGAGAGGGACACGUGGACCAAUGACAUGAGGGGCGGCUGGAAAAGUAGGGCUCGGUAGACCCCACCAAUGAUUUGGUAUGAUGGGGCAUUGAUUCUUUAGGGGGAGAGAGGAGGAUUGUGGAGCGUAGAAGUUGGCAAAUGAUGAAAAUUGGGAGAGGUGGUGUUGGAGAUAAGGUUUCAGAUGUGUUCCGUCCUUUGCGGCCACCCGACCAGUGGUAGUGUGAGGUUGUGCUCUUUGUUUGGCUUUUCUACGCCCCCUUUUCCAAGCCAACCCUCCGUGUCGUAGGGAAGCUACAUCUGACUUUAGUCUGCAAUUUACUUCACUGUAAUUAAUUAUGUUGUUUUGAUUUUAAUUUAAGUUAUCACUAUACAUAAUUAAUCAUUACUAUUAACAUCACUCUCUCUUCCUGUUUACAUACGACGGAGAGUCAGUAAGGGAAGUUGUUUUCUAUUUUGCACAUGAUGUCAAGAUAAUCUUGUACAGGAAGAGUAGAAUAAUGCAAAUCCUAGAUUUUUCAAUUUGAUUUUCAACCAUACUCUCCAACAACAAACCUGAAUGCCUUCGAUGCUCUAAAGAUAUAAAUAAUAAUAAUUUACGACAUGCUGCGUGCACAUACCAAGUAUUGCAUUUGUGAAGAGUUCAAUUAAUUUAAGUUACAAUUAAUAUUAUAAUAUCAUGUGUGCGUAUGGAGAAAAGGAUGACUAAAUAAAUGGUUCUUUCCAAAACUUUAUCUUAGCUUGAAGCUGAGAACUCAAUUUUGUAUCCAACCAAGUUGAGCUUUAAUAAUUAAUCUAGUUUUUGGGCUUGGAUUGGCUUGGCUUGUUACGAUUGGCACUUAAGAAAUAACAUUUUUGGUAUAAAUAAAUUCAAGCCAAGUGGCAAAAAAAGUGUAUGUCAAUUCCUUGUUUCUUUAUUCGAAAGUUGAGAGAAUCGAUCAAUAGUUGGAAAACAACCGCCGAGCCUACGCAAUCAGACACAUUUCCCAUAUGACUACCCAACUUGUCCUAAAAAAUAUGCGCUAGUCAUGACUCAAAAUUUGAAACUGCGCAUUCCAAAAGAAAAUAAAAAUGGUUAAAGUAGUUGGGGGGGAUUUUGUUGAAUACAGUUGAGGCUUCAUAGAUUAAGGUGUACUCAAAACUUAAUAAUAAUAAUUGGGAUGUCUUACAUGUAACUUUGAGGAGGCAUAGGACAAGUUGGCAGUGGGACAAGAAGAGUCUAGUCAGAGUACCAUAUCCACUUUGAUUUGAUGAGAUGAGAGAAUCAGCAAGGCACCGACUUCCCAAAAGCAAACUCUUUAGCUUACCCCACCCAGAUUGUAUUCUCUCUUACUUGUGUGGGACUGAACUUUCAGACACAGCAUCAUGCUUGUGCUUGAAAUAUUAGAGUAGGAGAUUGAGAGGAGGAUAGAGAGUGACCUAUGUCACCCACUCAACCCCCCACAAAGGUGACUGAUUUUCUGUCACAUUUACAAAGUCUACAAACAUUUAAAAAUAAUAUUUAUUAAUUAUAGGGGGAAUAUGGCAAUUGGCAAAGCUAUAUAUAUAGAUGUAUAUGUGACACGACUUGUUGGUUGGGCUGUAGAUGUAAACAGUUAGAAGCCCUGCAGGUCGGCUACCUUGCGCCUUAAAGAUAUGACAGGAAUUGGGCGUAGGUCCAUCUUUGAGACUGGUAGGAGUGGGAUGGAACACCCAACACAUAUGGGUUGUUUGAAGCAACAUGCCUUGGCUUCUAUGUGCAUGUGCUUCUGCAUUUCACUCUCAUGUGCAUUUGGUGACCCACACUCUCAACAUAAUUGAAGACAUGUUAAGGCAUGACCGCAUGGGAGCUUAGAUUUCAAGCGGCUGCUUUUGGUUUUUUUUGAAGGUUUUUUGGUAGGGGAUGUACCGUGGGAUUGAGAUGGGGUUGGCUUGGAUACGCACAAUUAAUAAUAUCCAGGUGACACCUGUACUUCUGUGGGCUAAAGCCCAACCCAGGUGACACUGACGAGACCAAGAGGGCCCAAUAAGAACUUGGUAUUAUUCAGCUCAAGCUAACCCAGGCCAUCAUGACUAUCAAAAUCUGGCUUCUCUAUUGUUUUCAUUGAAAUUGGAAUUGGACUGCCGCGAAUUCUCACUCUUCUUUUCUUUUGCCAAAUUUCAGCGAUGGUUCGUUGAAUCCAGCCUUUUAAUAAGUAUAUGAUCCUUAGCCAAGUCCAACAAACUGAAGGUCCAAAGAUGAGAGGCCCAAAACUUGAGAUUGGGCUUGGAGGAGUGACCCAGGCCAGCCCAUCGUGAAUUAUUUAUUACCCAUUCUGGGUGCUGCCGUCCUUUUCUGGUCUCCUAUUGUGGAAGACAAAUGGAUAAAGCCACUGACCAAUGUUGACCGUAAUCAAUGAAGAGAUGCGCCGGUCAUACACGCUCAGAAAAUUUCUGCAUCGAACAUUAUCAAAAUUUUCAAUUGGAUUGGCUUACCAUUGACAGUGCGCCACGUCAUAACUUCUAGAAGCCGACUCCGUCGUUGGCGUUGAAUGGAACAGAAGUACUGGCCACCGUUUCAACGAUGCAUCGUGAGUGAUGCACUACAAUGUACCAUAACAAGACUAAAUAAAAAAUACUCAAAACCGCGUGGACGCGGAGGGCUAUAAUAAGAUUGGCCCCGGUCAUCGUCAAGAAUUACCCUAAAAAAUUGAAGAAGAAAUUGAGAAGGAAGAGGAAGAUGUGCUACGAGGUGAAGUGCUCAACUUGUGGGAAGACCACAUGGGGUGGGUGCGGAAGGCAUGUUCCCUCCGUCCAUAAACGAGUCCCGGAAGGCGAACACUGUCUCUGCCGUGAUUGGCCAGGUGUCAAACUCGGCGAUCAGUCCAGCAGCGCCUCCACCGCCGCUGAUUCAGAAACCGCUUCCGUUUGUGCUAUUCUCUGAUCAUCAAUCUCCUUUCCUUGCUUCUUAUGUUUUCUCGGUCCAUGUUUGGGUUGUAGGUUCUGUAUAUGUUUCUGCUGCCUUUAAAUAAGAAUGAGGGUAAUGGAUUAAUGAUUCUCGCUUCUACAUAAGUCUUUUGGUACGCCUUGAUUGAUGCGGUUGGUAAUGGAUAGAGAUCUCUUUGGCAAAAACAAAAUCUUCAGCAAGGAUUGCAAUAUAUAAACAGGGGUUUAAACUUCAUCUCUUAAUACCGCUUAAAACUCACCAACCCACAUCUUUCAAAGGUCAACUUUACAUUAACACAAGUUUUUGAUUCCUAGCAAUCCUAAAACAUAAAGUUAAGGCUCUCCUCAAUUUUCAUAUCAGGGGUCCUAGCUGUUUCUUAGGUUAUUACUAAAAUUUCUGUUAUGCAUUAUAAAAAUUCCCAAAAAGAAUAAAAGGUUUUUACUGAUCUUUUAUGCUUAUGUAAGGUCAAAUGAAAAGAUUUGACUGAUUCGUAACUAAGAGUUUUAAAAAUAUGUUCGAAUUUGGCCAGGUCAAAACCUAGAUGACACAACAUAUGGCUAAUUGCAUUCGGGACCAAGGCCCAAAGUUAAAACUGAAGCCCGUCCCAAUUUGUGGCUAGCACGUUACUAAAAGCUUAUUACACCUCUCAUUUUGAGAGUCACCAUGAGAGGUAGGCCGGUAGGCAACCUUACAGAAAUGGCAGCACCCACUUUUGGUGUGACCCGGAUGGUCAUAAGACUCAUAGGCCAACCCCAAUUGCAAAAAUGCCCACCUUCUGUGUCUUUUUUUUCAUAAAAACAUAACAUGUUUAAGGUUGGGUAAUAUUAGGAAGCGUGACAGUUCCAUCCCAACUCAAGAUUUGGUUUGGGAUUAGGUCCCCAUCUUCGCUACUAGUAACCAAAAUAUUAGCAAGCCUACCUGUCCACUUCAUCCCAAUUUUUUUUAUAAAAAAUAAAAAUUAAGAAAUUAAAAAAAAAAAAUCGUCUUCCUUCUCUUCAAUUUUAUUGUUCUUCUUAUAAAAGAAUAAAUUUAAAAACAUAUUAUCUUUUAGUUUGCGAGUGAAAAAUGUAUUUCUCUUAGUUAUAUUUUAUAAUAAUAAUAAUAAUAAAUAAAUAAAUUGAACUUGGCUUAUCAUUAAUUUUACAAAAUUGAUGAUGUUACUUGACCACCAGAUUUGUCAUGACUCAGAUGAUAAGUGGCAAUUUCUAAAAAGAGACAUUACUAGGAGAACACUUAGAUCGAAGUUAAAUGGUAUGAGAGUGAGAGAAAAACUAUACAGUGCUGUAUUCAUUGUUGAUAACUUUAUUGCACACUUAGUUUUGCAAUAUUAGUACAAUUGAGAUAUUUUUUUAAAGGGUUUUGAGAUAACUACAACAUGAACCCAUUCAAUGUGUUACUUCAAUGCUUUCUUUCCCUUUCAGUGCAAUAAAUGGGUGAAAAAGAUAAAAUGUUACUAUCAAAAUAAUUUCAAUUUCCAACCGUCAAUCCUUUGCAGAAAAAUCAAGCCCCGUAAUGUUCAUAUUGGAUGAUUACAUGAGCAAUGACUCAUUUCCUCAUCUCAUUUGGGAAAAAGAACAGAGGCUAAAAAUGACUCGGGUUAAAUUUUUCAGUGCCGGAUUGACUUGUAGGGAGAUAGUGGAAGCAUUAACUAAAGUCCACGAGGUUGCCCAUACAUAAGUAAUAUGACAUCGAUCUCAAGAGCACUUCCUCACUGCCCCUGUGCCACAUCUUCGGUAGACCCAAAGAAAAAACGUAAACUCUCAUGAACAGCCAAAGAUCCACAAAUAUCACUUUCCUAUUUCCCGUCUUCAAGUUUCUUUGCUCUGCGGUUUCUGUCUUGGUGUCUCAUACCAAGUUUCCAACGCCUCCCGUGUCAAAAACAUGCAGGGACGACAAGCAAAACCAGUACCGCGUCCGGCACGCAACCAACCGGUCUAUAACAAUUAUUGAUGCGUCAUUAUUUUUGGAUGUGAUGUCCACCCACUUCCUAAUGGCAAUCGACCGUUGCCAGUAAGAGCCAGAAAUGCAAUAAUGCAGACUUAUCUUUACCAAGGAGGGUGAAAAUGAUGCAUUUCAACGUCAUUAUAACUUUGCAAAUCGGUGCUGUUUGGGAAUUAUACGGGGAAGCCACCCAAGUCAUUCGUAAUUUCGUUCCAUUUGAAUCAGUAAUCUUCAAAAACCAAAAAUUGGUUUCCAAUUUCUCGUAUUUUCCACAAUACCAGCCCAAAACUUACUUUUCCCCUUUCAUUUACCCUACUUUUUGCGGCAUCAGUCUACCAUCUAUCAACUUGAUUUGACCCAUCAAUCCAGUAAACUCCCCUGCUUUAUGGAAAAAGAAAAAGAAAGGCCUGAUUUACCGUAGUAUAGCCGACAAAAAUAGAACACUUCCUAUUUAGGUUGUAAUUUCAGAAAACAGUAGAUAUCUUUCUCGAAAGCAUCCUUUUCCACCUGCUAGUAUGGUAUAUUUCUGGCGCUAAGCCUCUAUUUUCUGCCAUGUCAAUGGCUGAAAAAAGAAAAUAUAUAUCCGUAGGUUUGAGACCAGAAAACCUCCUAAAAAUUUGUGAACAAGAAUGGGAACGAUGGAUGGUGGGACUUUGGAGUGAGAUAAGAAAAGGUGGUGAAAGAGGAAUGAAGGAUGGGCAUGGCUGUCCAAAUCCUUUUCAGUGCUGCAAUCACACGGUUGGAUUCCUUAUUGGCUGGUCUCAAUCGGCCGAGACUCCAGAGGGACACUACAAGCCCACCUAUGGGCAAACAUGAUUGAUGAAAAGUUGAAAGCUGCCUUUCCUCUCUGCCGGACCUUCCAACGGUUUUCAAAAUUAAUUUUCUGGUUUAUGGAAAAAAAAACUAAAUUAACAGAAAAUUAAAAAAAAAAUGAUAUUCAUUGAAAUAGAAAUCAUAUUCUUAAAAUAUCUUUUAAUUAUUUUUAAAUGUUUAAAUAAAAUAUAUAAAAUAUUAUACAUAAAAGUUUUUUUAAAAAAACACAUUUAAAAAUAUAGAAAACUAUUUUUAUUUUACAAAAUAUCCAAAAAAAAAAAAAGUUUUGAAAAAAUGUACUAAAAAUAGAGUCAUAAAUUUUAAAUAGGUAUAGGAUGGUUCCCAUAAAAAGCCUUUUUUCCCACUCCAUGGUGAGAUUAUUUAAUUAUAUUUUAACUUUUUUUUAAAUAAUAAUAAAUUUAAAGCUAAUUUUAACUUUUUUUAUGGUAAGAUAAAAUAUGAUAAAUUUGACAUUUUUCUUCUUUUAAUAAUUUUUUGAAACCAAAUAUAGUAUAAAGAAACUCUUUCACAAAUGUGAGGUCUUUCUAUGUUUAAUUUGUGUGAUCUUUUUUUUAUUUGAGGUGUGUUUAGCUUUAUAUUCUAAAUUUUUACAAUGUGUACUCCAGUCACUCCUCUAAAGCUUUAUAUUCUAAAUUUUAUUGUAAAAAAAUUUCAAUCUUAUCUCAAAUAUUCCUCUCUAUGCAAGGUGAGUGUUUUUUAUUCUAAGAAGUUUAAGGGAAAAUGCCAAUAAAAUAAAAUAAAGAAAAAAAUAAAUUUAAAGUUAAUAAAUUAUUUUUAUAUCAUAAUUUGAUAUUAUAAUUUAAAUAUUAUUGUAAAAAAAAUUCAAUCUUAUCUUAAAUUUAAAGUUAGUUUAAGGGUUGCUUGCUUAAGUUAAAAAUAAUUAAUUAAUUAAUACUUGAGAUUAUUAAUCACUAAAUACUAUUAUUUGGAACACUGUUCAAUAUUAUUGAGAUUUAAGUUAAAUUAAAUAUCACUUUUUUAAUUAAAAGAUUGAUAAAAAAAAAAAAAUGGAAACAGAUUUUUAUGAGAAUUGAACAGAAAUAUUUUCAAAAUUGUUGAAGAAACUUAAUACUAAGGAAAAAGAUUGCGUAUGUACAAAGAUGUGCUAUCUAUAUUUUAUAAAAAAAAAUGAUAAAAUAUCAUGUUUUAAUCUUCCUAUUUUUUAAGUAAAAGAAAAUUAAAUUCGAUAUUUAUACUAAAAAUUUUAAUUUUAUUAAAAAUUAUUAAAUUAAUUAACAAUAGCAAAAGAUCCGGAUGAUAGUAUAGGAUUUUUAGGAGGAAAAUUUUCAAAUUUGUUACAUAGAAAGUGUAGGAAUCCAAAAAAAUAUGACUUCCCUCUUGUCUCUCUUCGACUAUUACACGUAACUGUAAUUUUUGCAACGGACCGACAGCUCAACCCGCAAUGGCUCCAGCAAUGGUAAAAAAGACAAAUAAACCUCAUCUUCAAAUUCCCUGCCAUAAGCAACGCUGCCAAUUAGGGAAAAAUCCGUUGAUUUUCCAGGGCAUGGAAAACAUGUACGUUAUUUAUUUAUUGGAUUGCCGACGAUUCUCUCUGCGACUGAGAAUUUCAGACGUGGCGUUGGGCGACACCUCAUGGGUUAGAUGUGCAUCGCCACCUAUUCUAUCCAUUAAGGUUAAUAUAAUAAGAACGCUUGGAUUCCCACGUCCGUUCUGGAUGUGUUCGCCAAUUCAUACAAUACGAAACCGCCGCUUCGCUCCCUACACUCCCUCUCUCUCGACUCUGCGUCCUCUCUGUACCACACACACUUACGUCCACCUCGCAUUCUUCUUUUUCUUUUCUGCCUAAAUAUUACAUACAUACUCUGAGAUAUUGCUUCCUCUCAUCGGUACCUCACUCCUUGUAACCGAAAUUAAUUUGGAGUCUUGGGGAGAAUCACUGAAUCUGAAUUUUCAGAAUACCCAGUAGGAGCAACCAUGAUCAGUAGGAGGGCCUGCUUUCGCAAUUUGAUCCAAUCUCUAAGAACGGGUUCCACUGCAUCUAAGGUUAUCUUCCGCUCGUCAUUUUUUUUUUUUUUUAAUUAUGAUUCCAAGGACCAUUUCCUGAUUUCGAUAUACUCUACUUACUCUGAACCUUUUAUAGAGUUGAAAAUUUUCCUCUGGUUUUUAUCAUUUCAUACGACUUGUAAGUUUGUCUGCUGAACUUGUGGGGUUUCAAUUGUCUGGGUUUUUCUCGCAGGUUUGGUAUUGUAUGUGUCUUUUGGUGCUUUCUUUUAACGUAUAGUUCUUGCUUAACAUGUUGCUUUGUAGAUGAUUUCUAAUCUCUGUAUCAAUGUCCUUUCUUUUCUGUGCUUGUCUUUUAUAUUUGUUAUUGUUUUUGUUUUAACCACGGAGAUGACUAAUUUAGGGAGAGAUUAAUCCGAUUGAAUUAGUUUCAGCCCUGGAAAUAGGAAUCUGACGGUUCUGAAUUCAGCCUUUUGAAUGGUACGCAUAGCUUGGAUCAAAUCCGUAGCGGGUGGAACAACCUUGUAGAUGAUUGAUCCAACACUUUUAAAUGGUUAUUUUAUUUAAAUUCCAGUUAAAUUGGAGGCCUCAGUGGAUGUGACUAUUAAAUAGAAGAUGAUCCACAGAUUUAUUAGUAUUUUGAUUAUUCAUUGAGAACCAAUAUUUUCCGGCAGAGACAUUCAAAAAUGUUGACUGGGUUUCUUGUGUAAAAUGACAGCUGCAGUUGUAUCAAUAAAUAUUGAAAUCACGCGCCUUUGUUUUGCUUAUAGGCUACAAUCCAUUUCCCAUGUUCCUCAAUGAUGUGUCGUUGAUCAAUUGUAUACAUGAUAGAGAUCAAGAUGAAAACAGUACAAACUUAUCUAAUUUUCGUGCAUAUUUGCAGCUUAGAUCUUCCAAUUGCUAUACGUCAAGGACUGCACCUUCCUUGCAACCAGUGGUCGAGCUCUCUCCUGAUAGGUAACUGCGCAAAAUGAGGCAAUUCGAUACUAAUUACUUGGUUGCUUCCCUGCAAAUGUGUUCUACCGAAUAGUGAAUCCCACUGUUACACAACCAGAAUUUCUUAGACUGGUUAAUUUUCACCUCUUUGAUGCUCAAGCCCCCUCAAUUAUAAAUCUAUACUGUUGGGGUGUCCAUAUUUCAGGCAGUUUUUCAGGUUUUGUGUUAAUGCCCAACACCAAUUAUCUGCAUGAGAUUAUGUAACAUUGUUCAUUUAAUGUAAUUAUAAUUGUUGUACUGCUAGUGAUGAUGAGUACGCUGAUGUGGACUGGGACAACCUGGGAUUUUCUCUAAGACCCACCGAUUACAUGUACAUAACAAAAUGCUCCGGGGGUGAUAGUUUUGAAGAAGGCCAUCUUAGUCGCUAUGGAAAUAUAGAGUUGAGCCCUUCUGCUGGUGUGUUAAAUUAUGGACAGGUAACUAGAUUGUAUUCUUAAUUACUUGUGCUAAAGCAAACAGCAUAUUUGAUGUUGUAUCUUUUAACUACCUUCAGGGUUCUAAUGUAAAGUUGGUGGUUUUGAAAUCUGAACAGGGGCUGUUUGAAGGCACCAAAGCAUAUAGGAGAGAAAAUGGGCGCCUCUGCCUCUUCCGCCCUGAUCAGAAUGCCAUCCGUAUGCAGGCUGGUGCAGAAAGAAUGUGCAUGCCUUCCCCAUCCAUCCAUCAAUUUGUAGAAGCUGUCAAGCAAACUGCAUUCGCUAACAAGCGCUGGGUAAUUGUCUUACCGUACUUGUUCUACAUCUAUGUUGCAUUAGAAGCUCUAUGUUUUUAUUUAAUAAACAUGUCUGUCCUUCUAGUUUAUAAAUUUUUUGUUUUGAUGUGAAGCAGAUUCCUCCUCCAGGAAAAGGGUCACUGUAUAUUAGGCCUUUGCUCAUGGGGAGUGGACCCGUAUUGGGUUUAGGCCCAGCACCUGAAUGCACAUUCCUCAUAUAUGCUUCCCCUGUUGGCAACUAUUUCAAGGUGGGGUUUCUUAUUUUAUCAAAGCCUGGUUUUGCUUCAGCUAAGGCAAGAAGAAUUUAUGUGCUCUGUUGAUUCAUUUUGCAGGAGGGUUUGGCACCCUUAAACCUAUUUAUUGACGAUGAGUAUCAUCGUGCAACACGUGGAGGGGCUGGAGGGGUGAAAACCAUUACCAAUUAUUCUCCUGUAAGUGAAUCAGUGUCUCAUUUAGUUGUAAAAUAAGCUCAUUGCUUUCAACUCCUUGAAUGCCACAAAAUAUGCUCAUUUUCAAAAAAUGACUUGUGUCUAAAGUGUUAGGUUGUAACUAUGGAAUGUAAAUUUACAUUGUUUCUUGCUGCCAAAUUAUUGAUGCCCCCCUUGAAACUAUGUUAUCUAUUAUAUCACAUCCUUUCUCGUCUUGUGUAGGUUUUGAAAGCACUAACUAGAGCAAAGAGCAGAGGGUUCUCUGAUGUGCUAUACCUUGAUUCAGUGUAUAAGAAAAACAUCGAGGAGGUCUCUUCUUGUAACGUCUUCAUUGUGAAGGUACUGUUGAAAUUACAUUUCUCGUUAAUUUAAUUAUUCUCACCUGGUACCUAAUUGUUAUCUUCACUGGAUGUGACUCUAACGAAGAAGUGAAAACAUAAGUGAUUAGCAGCUUAGAUUGUUCAAAACAACUUGGACAGAGAAUUUUGAAAUUGGAUAGACAUAGAGGCAGAGCUUCUUAGAGUGCACUUUUCCACCAUUUCAGGAUAAUGUUAUUUCAACUCCGGCCACAGGAGGAACCAUUCUUGAAGGAGUGACUCGAAAAAGCAUCGUCGACAUUGCACUUGAUCACGGUUACCAGGUAAAUGUCCAGUAACUUGGUAAAAACAAUAAGCUAAUUUCUGUACUUAUAUGUUCGGAUAAUGUCCCAAAUGGGUUAGGUUAAGGAGCAAUGUAUUCCAGUGGAGGAAGUGAUGGAAGCCGAUGAAGUUUUCUGCACCGGAACCGCUGUUGGUGUAGCUGCGGUGGGAAGCAUUACAUAUCAGGGUAAAAGGUAAAUAGUCAUACCUAAGAUCACAAAGAACCUCUGUAAAGGGGAAAUAAUUAAGUUCAUACUAGUGUUGCCUGCCACUAAUUUUCUUUUGUUGAUGAAUUAAAUAUGAAUACGCAGGGUGGAAUACAAAAUGGGUGAUCAGUGUGUGAGUCAGGAACUGUUCUCAACGUAUAUGGGGAUUCAAAAAGGUGAUAUCGAGGACAAGAAAGGCUGGAUUCUGGAGAUUGAUUAAGCUUUAUAGCCACCUCAUCUACAGCACUUGUACAUGGUACUGCUAAGAGCAUGGUAUUCCUAAUAAAAUUAAUGUUCACGUCAAAGGCAUCGAUAUCUAAACUGGUUUCCAUCUUUAACCAAACAUCACUUUUUGAAUCCUUAUCCUCCACGACCAUAUCGCAAUCAACUUUAGUUUCCUUUCCCCCUUGAUCCUAUCACUCAUCCUUAUCUUCCCCACUCACUCUUUCCACAUUUUUAUUGCCAUCGAUUUUGAAGGAGUAAAAAAAUUAAAGACUAUUUUCGGAAUUAGCUUUCAUUUUUUUUUUUUAACAUAACUUUAAAAAUAUUUUAAAAUUUUAAUAAAAAUUAAAAUAAUUAAAGUUAUAUCUCUAAUUAAUUUUUUUGGGCCUUUAUUUUUAUUUUAUACUAUUGUAAAAACAGUAAAUUUAACUUAAUUAAAAUGACAAUAUUUAUUUUAAAAAUAAAAAUAAAACAUGAAAAGUUGAAUUUUAGAUAAUUUAAUGAUCCGUUUGAUUAAAAUGUGACAUUUAUAUUACAACAUAGAAAUUCUUUAAAGUUUUAAUACCCUCGUGUGGACCCCGCAUUUCGGCUCAUGCGUUUCCCACUCGAAUGGCGAGCUCGAUUUUAUUUCGAAAAAUUGAUUUUUAUUUGAUUAAGAAAAUUGACUUGGAGUCGCCACUUAUUUUUGUUUUAUUUUUAAAAGGGUAAACAAAAUAAGAAAGAAAAACCCUAAGUGUGACUCCUUACUUUGGAAAAGAUGGUCUGUGAAAAACCGGAUCGGGUUCGGGGGUCAGGUUACUUAUCGGGAAGGUAUGGUAACGACCGUAGCACCCCUCUAAGUCCCUAAAAACAGGUCUCUACUAAUAAAAUGAAGCUGACGUGGCAAUCGAAUAAGAAAGUCAAUGGAUACUCACAUCAAUCAUGCAUAUAUGAGAAUCAGAAUAUGUAUAGUGAAUGAUCAGAAUGAGUGAAUGCAUACCUGGGCAGCAAGCAGCAACGCGCUAUCAAGAGACAGGAUUAGCGAAUGACGAAUAGAUAAGAUUAUGCGCAUGCCAAGGAACAAAAAUAAAUCAAACAAACAUGGUAAAUAAAUCAAUCAAUCAAUCAGUCACUCAUAAAAUCACAUAUGUGGGGCCCCCACCAAAGCUCGAUUGAUUUUUCCUGAAUUAAUCUCGCGAAUCCCAUUAUUUCAAAAUUAUGAAGAUUCAUCAUUCUUGCUUGUGUAAAAAUCAAAAGAAAUGGAAUAUUAUUUAAAAAUCGGAGUGGAAUUAAAGCUAUUUGAGAGAAAAUUGGAUGUUUGAGAUUUAUUUGGAAAUUAGAGUCUUGAAAAUUAUUUGAAGAUUGGAGUCUUGAAAAUUAAAUUUAAGAAUUGGAAUUUCGGAUAUUAAAUUUGAAAGAAACUAGAAUUUUGGAAAUCGGAAAUUGAAUUCAGAAAUUAGAAUUUUGAAGAAUUGUUUAAAAGGGCAUUUCAAAAUAAAUAACUAAAAUAAUAAUAAUUAAAUAGAUUAAUGUGAGUAUUGGAAUUUUGGAAUUAUAACUUAAAAUCGAAAGUCGGAAAUUUUAAUGAAUUGUUUAAAAUGGAAUUUUAGAAUAAGUAAAUAACAUAAUAAUAAUUAAAUGAAUUAACGUGAAUAGUGAAAUUUUCAGAAAUAGAAAUUUAAUUCAGAGAUCGAAAGUUUUAAAUGAAUUGUUUAAAAUAGAAUUUUAGAAUAAAUAAAUAACAUAAGAAUAAUUAAAUAAAUCAAUGUGAAUAUUGGAAUUUUCAAAAAAUAGAAAUUUAAUUCGGUAAACGGAAAUUUUAAUGAAUAGAUUAGUUUUAAAAUAAAUGAAUAAAGUAUUAGUGAUUAAAUAAAUUAAAGUGAGUAUGAGAACUUUAGGAAAUUGGAAUCGAAUUCUAAAUGUCGGAAUUUUGAAGUAUUAUUUAAAGGUUGAAUUUUUAUAAAUUGGGCUUGGAAAUUGGAAGUUAGAAAGUUUGAAUUAAUAAUAAUAAUAAGAAUAAGAUUUUUGAAAGUUGAGGUAAUAAUAACAAUAAUGAUGAGAUUUUUGAAAGCUUGAAUUAAUGAUGAUAAUAAUAAUAAAUAAAUUUUGAAAGUUUGAAUUAAUACUAAUGAUGAUAAAAAGAUUUUGAAGGUUGAAUUAGUAAUAAUCAUAGGAUUUUAAAAGUUUGGAUUAAUGAUAGUAAUAAUAAUGAUAAGUGGAUUUUGAGAGUUGAGUUAAUAAUAAUUAUAAUAGUAAUUAAUGAUAAUAAUAAUAAUAAUUAUAAAUGUUGGAAGUUUGAGUUAAUACUAAUAAUGAUAAAAAGAUUUUGAAGGUUGAAUUAAUAACAAUCAUAGGAUUCUAAAAGUUCGGAUUAAUGAUAGUAAUAAUAAUGAUAAGUAGAUUUUGAGAGUUGAGUUAGUAAUAAUUAUAACAAUAAUUAAUGAUAAUAACAAUAAUAAUGAUAAUAAUGAUUAAUGAUAACAAUAAUAAAUAUAAUGAUAACAAUGAUUAAUAAUAAUGGCAACAAUUAUAAUGACAAUAAUAAUAAUAAUAAUAAUGAUAGCAAUGACAAUAAUAAUUAAUGGUAAUAAUAAUAAUAAUUAUAAUGAUAAUAAUGAUUAAUAAUAAUAAUAAUAAAUAUAAUGAUAACAAUGAUUAAUAAUAAUGGUAACAAUUAUAAUGGCAAUAAUAAUAAUAAUAAUAAUAAUAAUAACAAUAAUAAUAAUUAUAAUGAUAAUAAUGAUUAAUAAUAAUAGUAAUGAAUAUAAUGAUAACAAUGAUUAAUAAUAAUGGUAACAAUUAUAAUGACAAUAAUAACUAAAAAUAAUAAUAAUAAUAAUUAUGGUAAUAAUAGAAAUGGGCUCAAGACAAAGGCCCCAUCUUCAGCAUAGGCUUGGGCCUGAGCUCCAAGUUCAAACCCAAGCCCAAAGCCUUCAUAAUCCAAACCCAAUGCAAACAUUAAAAAAAAAAAAGCCCAUCUCUAUCAAGGCCCAAAUUCUAAUUCCAUCACAGCCCAUUUAUUUGAGGAAACAUGCUACCCUCCAUCAACGAACUUGGAUUGGGCUCCAACUCAAGCCCAAGGUCCAUCAUGGGCAAGCCCAAGCCGGUCACCCACGCAAACUCCAUCACAGCCCGAGGCAUCUCCCUCCAUCUGGGCAGCUUUCUCAGACGAGACCUCCACCAGCAGCGACGUAGAGGAGAGGGGAAGCGGCGGCGGUCCGACGUCGUCCAAGAGGCGUCGCCGUUGUCGCUGGUGACCAUUGCGGCUGUCCAGGCGGUCAGAGCAAGUCGAGGCGAGCCACGCCGACGUCGAGGGAGGAUCCGUUCGCGACCUCGAGGCGCGCCCGCUGCAGCUGGGGUGGCAGUGCCAUUUGGGGGUAGGCUUGGGGCGGCGGAAACUGGUGCCUGCGGAGGAGCUCACGAGGAUAGAGGAUGGCGGCGAGCAUGGGCAAUGGUGAGUUGAGAGGGGAUAGUUUUUACAGGUAUUGGAAAAUGAAGGUGAGAGUUAGGGGUGGUCUUUGCAUGGCGGGGUGUGGGGAUAUGAGUAUGGGUAUGGUUAGGUGAUGUGGAUGAACGAGAGAAAUGGUGAGGGAAUGAGGGUAAGGAUAGGUUUGGUGUGCAUGGGUGUCGCGGGUUUAGAGAGAGAAGUAGAUGCAGGGAAGGAUUGAUGAAGAAGGAGAGAGGAAUAACAUGAUUAAUGAAAGGUUCGGCAAAUAAAUCCAUAUAGAAAGCUAUAUAUCAAACAAAUCCAUGUGACUCAGUAUACAAUGAAAUCAUAUGACAAUGCUCAGGUAUCCAGAUCAGAGAUAAUUAAAACCAAUGACUGAGGAAGCAUGCAUGAGAAAGGCUCCAAGGACUCAUACCUGUGAUGCCCUUCAAGACGUCCCCCUCAAGCUUUUCCUCCUUCUCCUCUUUCUCCGAUCUCUCCUCCUUGAUAUUUUCUUUCCCGCUCUUCUUUGACAGCCCCCCUCCUACUCUCUGUCUCGCGUCCCAUCUCGCCGCCACCUAGAGCAGCCCACUUGAGAGCCCUCAGAAAAGCAACCAAAAAAUAAUGAUAAAUAAUCCCAGAAAAAAAACUCUCUCUUCGGGGGGGGUCUACACCUCGCUUUAUAGGUUCCUUAAGAAAAAAAUGAAACAUUAGUUUUUCGUUGGUCUUCCUCGAUUUACGAUCUAAUUGAAAUUCUUAUUAAAAUUUAUUGAGUUUAUUUUUAAUUUUUAAUUAUUUUUAAAAAUUACUAUGUUUAAUAAUUCAAACAAAUUAAUUCUUGCUUUGGUUUGCUUGGUUUAUAGUUUAUUUAUCUAAUAUGAAAAUUCCUAAAAAUUAUAGUUACUUGUAGAAGAGAAACAAUAGAUUAAUUGUAAAUUAAUUUUUGUGAGUUUUUAACCUUGAGUUAUUUUUUAAGAUUAAUAGACUUAUUAUUAAAUCAGUGCAUUAAAUCUUACUUAAUUUAAAAUUUAUUUAUUUAAUAAAAAAAUUAAAAAAUAUGAUUGCGUGUUUUAUUAUCGAUCAAUUUUUUAUUUAUAAAUUUUUUAUCAUUUUCUAAAUAUUUAAAUUUUAAAUUAUUUUAAAAAUUAUUUAACUCAUUAAUAAAUUCAUUAUAGUAAAUCUUACUUGAUUUAAAUUUUAUUUAUUCAAUAAGAUCGAAAAAUACAAUUAGGUCUAAAAAUUAAAACAAUUAAGUCAAUUUUAAUGCAUGACUUUUGACAUUAAUUAAAUCAAUUUAUAAGUUUUAUAUUAUUUUUAAAAACCAGUAAAAUUAUGUAUUAAUUCAUGAACUUGUUUUUUUAAUAAAAAAAUAUUAAAAAUUGUGAAAAAACUUAUAAAUAGAAUUUGGGGACCUCGACUAAAUGAUUUAUUUUUUUAAACGAUUUAUUUUAUUUUUAAAAAUAGAGAAAAAUAAUUCUUACUUAUUACUUUUUUUUUAUUUCACUUUAAUUUUUUAAAACGAUUUCAAUAAUUACCAAAUAAUAUUAUAAUUUUUUUUAAAAAAAUUGUUUUUAAAAAAUAAAAAAUUAUUUAAAAAUCAAUAGACUUUAAGACCCUUAAAUGCAUCCGAUACUUGGGGUCUGCUACAAGUCCCAUGGUUGAAUAGACCCAGGAAUCAACCAUGGUUAAAACCAGAUGUGGACUCAAACGACCCUUGGAAUCUGUUCUUGUUAACCCAGAAUUUGUGCGUUUGUUGGAUGCUUUUGAGGUUCCCAUAAUCGAUGAAGCCUUCAAUGGAAAUACAAUCAGGUCUUUCAUGGAUGAAUUGAAGGCAGUUGGGGUGGCUGUUGAUCUUAGCAGAGCAUUAAAGCUGAUAGUCACUCAAUUUAAGUCAUUCUUAUCUUCUUCCAGCCUGACUCCUUUCAAAGUGAUUUCACUACUAGAAUGCAUCAGAGAAAUGAAUGAAAAACUGCCUUCACAUUUGCAGGAACUCCAUCAAUGCUUGUUGGGGGAGAAGUGGUUAAGGACUUGUAAUGGUUACAGGACCCCCAGUGAAUCAAUACUAUUCAGCUCUAAAUGGGGAACCAUAUCUUUAUUUGUUGAUCUUCCUCUCAUUGAUGAUUCCUUUUAUGGUAUUGUCAUAUAUGGCUUUGAGGAUGAGCUAAAGAUGCUGGGGGCCAUAACUGAAUUCGAAGGAGGAGCUCCAUUUGUAGCCAGAGGUCUAACCCGACCAAUUGAACCUCGAUUUGUGACUGACUUGGGUACAAUUGCAUUGCUAGAAUGUAUCAAGUAUCUAAUCUCAAAGUCUAAGGAGCAGACAUUACUUGAUAAUUUGUUUAGCAAUUUAAUGAGAAGCAAGUCGUUGAAAACUAGGAAAGUUUACAAAAAACCUGAGGAAUGUAUCCUGUUUGAUCCAACCUGGAAAGUUAUUCUGGAGGAGACUGAUGCCCCAGUGAUUGAGCAUACAUUUUACAAAACUGAAAUAUUUAUGUACAAGAAUCAGUUGAGGGCCAUUGGAGUUAAGGUGGAUCCUGGGGAUGUAUGCUCUCUUCUGUCAAGGUAUCUUAUGUCACUUACAGAGACUUCUUCAAUUACUAGGACAUACAAUUUCCUCCACAUGUUCAAUUGGAAGCCAGAAUUGCCGGAUAAAUCAGACUAUCAGGUAUGGGUUAUUAACCACAAUGAUAACUGUGAGUGUUUAGCUAGGUUGGCAAUUCCGGACAAAAUUCCUAAGUGUCCCCUAACUCGGCUUUCCUAUUCCUAUUCGGACUACUUGACUUUGAAGACUAAGACUUUGCUAAGAGGCCAAGGUAUGUAGUCGAGUGUGUGGUGAUUGGGUGUGAAUCAACCCGGUUUUUAAUCUUUAAAUGUGUUAGAAAGUUUGGAAAAAUGGUUUUUGGUGCAAGGCUUUUAUUCGUCUGUUUCUGGAUCGAUCCAGGUGUAGGGGUGGAUCUAUCCAACUAAUGUUUUUUUGAUCAAAUCUCAGCCAUUAGAUUAAGGGUUUAUUUUUACACUUUAAAACCAAAUCUUCUAUCAUUUUCUGUGGAGAGAGACUGCUGAAAACGUGGGGAGAGCAGCCACACUCCAAGUGUUCUUCAUUUCUCAUUUUUGCUUUCCUAAGUUGGGGUUUUUGAUUGCAAAGAAAAUCCACUUCUCUUAAUGUUUUCAAAACUAGUUUUCAAUGGAUUUUCUUGAGCAAUAAAGGGGUUGAUUCAUUUCUUCAUUCACAUCUAAAUCUCUCAUUCUAUUUGGGUUGUGCAAAAACCCAUUUUCUUCUUGUGUUGAUUCAAGAAGAGGCCGAGAUUGAGCUUGGUGCGGACUCCAAGUGUGCUCCAACAGGAGAAGCUGAAAAUGAAGGUACUAGUCAAGUAUUCCGGGAAGGAUUGGUUGGCUUGAGCUAGGUAAAACCUUGUACUCAGUUUUUAUUCUUCAUAGUGGAGUUUUCAAUCGGCGAUAGGCCCGUGGUUUUUGAUAUCUUCGGAGGUUUUCCAUGUUAAAAAUCUGGUGUUCAUUGUCUCUUUCUCUCACUCUAUAUUUUGAUUUAUUUUUGAGGAGUGUUGAAGCAUUUGCAUGUGUUUUGCAUUUAUAAAUUGUUGGGAGAGUGUUGAUGCAUACAUUAUUGCUUGUGGAUGUUUUGCUUUGUUAAAAAGUUAUUGGAAGAAAAAUUUCUUGACAUUAAGAUAGUCUAAGGUUAGGUAAUCUUUGUUGGAAUGAUUUUUUAAAUUGUUCUACAACACCUAUUCACCCCCCUCUAGGUGUAGUUCAUUAUUGAGAUUCACAUUUUCAAUAACAGUGGAGAAGAAUGGGUGAAUUCUCAGCUUCGCAUACUUCAUGACAAGGACAAUCUAUUUGAUUCCCACUAGUAUGCUCUUGACAAAUGUUACCAGAAGGAACUGUUGCCCUUUUUCUCUUCAGCAUUUGCAGUUGCUGAAUUUCCUUCCAUUGAUGAUUACAUGGGGCUCUGGGACAUCUGGGUCCUGAGAGUUAAUAGUCAAGUGACUGCCAAAGGAUGCUGCUCUUUUUUGGGACUACAUUUUGAAGAACUGGAAUCCGCACACAGAGGAUAUCCUGAAGAAGAGGUUAACCAAAGUACCCCCCACCACAUCUACAAGUGAGAGAAUCCAUCUAGUGAACAAGGAACUGGUGUUUAUCCCUGACGACUUGUAAUUGAAACAUUUUUUUUUUCUAGUAUCGAUGGAAUUCCACUCUUUGUAUGGCUGCUCAAGUGCAAGAGCUUAUCUACUAUUCAUCCAAGGAGGUUCUUUGAGAUUUAUGAGUCUCUUUGGAGUAAGAAAGAUGUCUGGUUCUGUUGAGUGCCAUGCGAGUAUUUCACAUUCUUUGGAUCAAUAUAAGAUGGAUCCGAGAAAUGGAUUGAUAGGAAGAGGUCUUGUCAGUAUUUGAAAGCAGUGAACCAAUUCUAGUCAGUUAUCAAUUACUAUUGUCUGCAUACAAAACAUUGGAAGUAGAAGCAAGGAAGCUGGUUUUUUGGGACAAGAAUUCUUGUAGGCUGCUGAUUGAUAAAUCAGGUUAUGAAGAUCGAAAAUCGAAUAUUAAAUUUGUGAGUUGUUUUGCAUGUGAAAUUGCUGAAGGACUAUUGGCAUGUGUAAAAGCUGAUGCAAUCGAAAACCUGAGUAAGACAAGUGAGUAUGUUUGAGUUCAAGGAGAAAUCCAUGUUUCUUUUGCUUACAAGUGAGUAUUUGGAGCUGUUUGCGGAGGAUGAGAAGUUCCUUGAUGCUGCAUUCCUCUUGCCAAAACAGUGUCCAGUGAUAAGAUAUCUUCCCAUCUUGCCUCCAAUAGACGACAAGUCACAACUGCUGACUCAACCAAACCUCAAGGAGAGUCGGAGAAAAGUUCCAAACUAUCCAGAUCCUCCAAAGUCCAGUUCUCAACAGCUGGAGUUAUUAAGCCCACCCAUGCCAGAAUCUUCCCAGAAGAAGCCUCGACAAUGAUGGAGUUAUUAAUUCCAGGAGUUUCUGUUUAGUGAUAAAUUUUUUAAAAUUUGAGAUAAUACUUUUUUUAAUACCUCAAUUUUUUAAAAUAAUUUUGAAAGUCACCGUCUUUCAAAAUUAGUCCCAAACAUUAUCAUUUUUUCUAUUUUUAAAAAUAAAAAAUGUAUACUUGAAUUUUAUAAUAACAUAAUUGCAGAAAAACCCCUUUUUCAGAGGAUAGGAAAUUAAUGUUUGGAAUAAAAAGAAAAUAAGGAUAUUUGAAAAUCAUACUUAAAAAAGUGUUUUUUAAUAACCACAAAAACCUUUUUGUGCAAAAACAUUUAUUAAAUUUCUUAGUGCUUUAUUUUAUAAUAUCUUCUUAACCUGUUUAAUAUGCAUAUAUAUAAGAUUUAAAUUUCAUUUUGCACUAAAAUUUUUAAUUUUAUUAAAAAAUAUUAAAUUAAUUAACAGAUCCAUAAAUAACAAGUAUAUGUUGUUUUUGCAACUGACGAAGAGCUCAUACUGGAGUCCUAUUUUUGCUCAACUACUUUCCAUUUUGUCAAAACGUAAUGGAGAAUGGCUCCCCAACGUUUACUUCAUCUCCAAAUAUAAAAAUAUCGAAAAUUAUGUAUAUAUCGAUACUUCGGAUAUAUACUGACGUAUAUUUUAAAAAUAUAUAUAUAAAAUUGAUUAAAAUUUAUAAAAAUAUAAAAAAAAUUCAUAAAAAUGUACUUAGAAGUGUAAUAGAUAUUUUAAAGUUAUUUUAUUAAAGAAUUUGAUAUAUGUAUAAUAUGAUUUAUGAUAAUAAUAUCGUAUGUUUCAAUAAAAAUAUGAAUUUUAUAAAUAUACAUUUAUUAUUAAAUUACAUAAAAUAUUAUUUCAUAAUUUAUUAUGAUAUUUGAUUAUAAUAUGUCUAUAUUUUAAAAUAUAUAUAUAUAUUAAUAUUAAAAUUAUAAUUUAUUUAAUUUAAUUGUAUUAAAUGAUAUAAAAUAAAUUAUGAUAUAUGUACAUAUUUUUAAUAUUUAAUUAAUUUAUUAAUGAUAUUAAAAACACUAUAAAUAUUUAAUUAUAAAAUAAUUAUAAUUAAUUUACUUUCUAAAAUUUUCUUUACAUGAUGAAUUUGAAUGUAUAUUUUUAAUACAUUACAUCUGUAACACAUUCAACAUCAUAUAUAUUGCGAAAAAUCGGCAAUUUAUCGCCAUAUCGUAGAUUUUUGACGAUUUCUUUCAAAAUUUCAUCCUAUAUUUCUCCAUUAAAUACCGUAUUCAUACUAUCCGAUACACAAUAUACCAGCCAAUAUAUCACGAUAUUUUCUUCCAUGCUUAUUUCAACUAUAUUUUUAAAUAAAAAGAAAAUGAUAAUUAUACCAUUUUAGGUGCCGUCGGCCAAUCUACUUUACCAAUAUGAAUAUAUCAAACGUUUGCAAGCUUUAGUGCUUUACACAAACAUAAGACAAAUCUACAUUUUAUAAAAAUUUAUUCAAUAUUGUGCUUUAAUGUUCCUAUUUUUAAAAUGGAAAAAAACUAAAUUUAAUACUUAAAAUGUUUAUAUGAAUCUAAUGCUAAAUUUUUUAAUAAUAAUGUUGAAUUUUAUUAAAUAUAUUUGCUAUCUGGGUGUUCAAUGUGCUUAACUGCUUAUACCAAUAUUUGCAAGUUUUUCACCAAUAGAAAUUUAAUAAAGAUAAAUCCUAAUAGAAACUUUGUAAAAUUUCCUUCCAUAAGCAACGCUGCCAGGUCAGAGGACAUGUGGAAAACAUGUACGUUUUUUAUUUAUUUAUAUUUACUUUUUUGGAUUGUCACUGAUUCACUCUGCGACUGAGAUUUUCUGACGUGGCGUUGGGCGAGACCUCAUGGAUUAGAAGUGCAUCGCCACCUAUGCUAUCCAUUAAGGUUAAUAUGAUAAGAACGCUUGCAUUCCCCCCGGUGGGUUCUGGCCUAGAUGUGUUCGCCACUUCAUACAAUGCUAAACCGCCGCUUCGCUCCCUAGACUCCCUCUCUCUCGAGUCUGCGUCGUCUCUGUACCACACACACUUACGUCUACCUCGCAUUCUUCUUUUUCUUUUCUGCCUAUAUAUUACAUACGUACUCUGAGAUUGCUUCCUCUCAUCGGUCCCUCACUCCUUGUAACCGAAAUUAAUUUGGAGUCUUGGGGAGAAUCACUAAUCUGAAUUUUCAGGAUACCCAAUAGGUGCAACCAUGAUCAGUAGGAGGGCCUGCUUUCGCAAUUUGAUCCUAUCUCUAAGAACGGGUUCCACUGCAUCUAAGGUAAUCUUCCGCUUGUCAUUUGUUAUUUUUUAUUAUGAUUCCAAGGACCAUUUUCCGAUUUUGAUAUACUCUACUUACUUUGAACCUUUUAUAGAGUUGAAAAUUUUCCUCUGGUUUUUAUCAUUUCAUGUGACUUGUAAGUUUGUCUGGCGAACUUGUGGGGUUUCAAUUGUCUGGGUUUUUUGGUGUCGCAGGUUUGGUAUUGUAUGUGUUUUUUUGGUGCCUUCUUUUAACGUAUAGUUCUUGCUUAACACGUUGCUUUGUAGUUGAUUUCUAAUCUCUGUAUCAAUGUCCUUUCUUUUCUGUGCUUGUCUUUUAUAUUUGUUAUUAUUUUUGUUUUAACAACGUAAAACAAUAGAAAAUCUUGAUCGUAGUUGAAGAAAAGAGGGAGAUGAUUAAUUUAGGGAGAGACUAACCCGGUUGAAUUAGUUUCAGCCCUGGAAAUAGGAAUCUGACGGGGUUCUGAAUUCAACCUUUUGAAUGGUACGCAUAGCUUGGAUCAAACCCGUAGCGGGUGGAACAACCUUGUACAUGAUUGAUCCAACACUUUUAAAUGGUUAUUUUCUUUAAAUGCCGGUUAAAUUGGAGGCCUCAGUGGAUGUGACUUUUAAAUAGAAGACGAUCCACAGAUUUAUCAGAAUUUUGAUUAUUUAUUGAGAAUCAAUAUUUUCCCUUUAGAUACAUUCAAAUAUGUUGACUGGGUUUCUUGUGUAAAAUGUCAGCUAGAGGUUGUAUCAAUGAGUAUUGAAAUCACGCGCCUUUGUUUUGAUUAUAGGCUACAAUUCAUUUCCCAUGUUCCUCAAUGAUCUGUCGUUGAUCCAUCGUAUACAUAAUAAAGAUCAAGAUGAUAAAAAGUACAAACUUAUCUAAUUUUCGUGCAUUUUUGCAGCUUAGAUCUUCCAAUUGCUUUACGUCGAGGACUGCACCUUCCUUGCAGCCACUGGUCGAGCCCUCUCCUUAUAGGUAACUGCACAAAAUGAAGCAAUUUGAUACUAAUUACUUGGUUGUUUCCCUGAAGGUGUCUUCUUCCGUACAAUGAAUCCCACUUUUACCCAACCAGAAUUUGUUAAACAGUUAAUUUUCACUUCUUUGAAGCUCAAGCCCUCUCAAUUAUAAAUCUAUAUUGUUUUGGUGCCCAUAGAUUGCAAUGAUUUCAAGCAGUUUUUCAGGUUUAUUGUUUAAGCCCAACACCAAUUACCUGCAUGAGAUUGUGCAACAUUGUUCAUUUAAUGUAAUUAUAAUUGCUAUACUGCUAGUGAUGAUGAGUAUGCUGAUGUGGACUGGGACAAUCUGGGAUUUGGUCUAAUACCCACCGAUUACAUGUACACAACAAAAUGCUCCGAGGGUGGUAAUUUUGAAGAAGGCCAUCUUAGUCGCUAUGGAAAUAUCGAGUUGAGCCCUUCUGCUGGCGUGUUAAAUUAUGGACAGGUAACUAGAUUGUAUUCUUAAUUACUUCUGCUAAAGCAAACAGCAUAUUUCAUGUUGUAUCUUUUAACUAACUUCAGGGUUCUAAUGUAAAGUUGGUGGUUUUGAAAUCUGAACAGGGGCUGUUUGAAGGCACCAAAGCCUAUAGGAGAGAAAAUGGGCGCCUCUGCCUCUUCCGCCCUGAUCAGAAUGCCAUCCGUAUGCAGGUUGGUGCAGAAAGGAUGUGCAUGCCUUCCCCGUCCAUCCAUCAUUUUGUAGAAGCUGUGAAGCAAACCGCUCUCGCUAACAAGCGCUGGGUAAUUGUUUUACCCUGAUUGUUCUAAUCUAUGUUGCAUCAGAAGCUCUAUGCGUUCAUUUAAUGAUUAUGUCUUUUCUACUGGUUUAUAAAUUUUUUGUUUUGUUUUGAUGUGGAGCAGAUUCCUCCUCCAGGGAAAGGGUCACUGUAUAUUAGACCUUUGCUCAUGGGAAGUGGACCCGUAUUGGGUUUAGGCCCAGCACCUGAAUGCACAUUCCUCAUAUAUGCUUCCCCUGUUGGCAACUAUUUCAAGGUGGGGUUUCUUAUUUUAUCAAAGCCUGGUUUUGGUUCGGCUCAGAAAAGAAGAACUUAUAUGCUCUGUUGAUUCAUUUUGUAGCAGGUUUCGGCACCAUUGAACCUAUUUAUUGACGAUGAGUAUCAUCGUGCAACUCGUGGAGGGGCUGGAGGGGUAAAAGCCAUUACCAACUAUUCUCCUGUAAGUGAAUCAUUGUCUCAUUUAGUUGUAGAAGAAGCUCAUUGGUUUCAACACCUUGAAUGCCACAAAAUAUGCUCAUUUUCAAAAAAUGACUUGUGUCUAAAGUGUUAGGUUAAUAGGUUGUAGCAUCGAAUAUAGUUUCUAUGGAAUGUAAAUUAUUUCUUAUAUACGAAAGUGGCUACUAGUGCUUGCUACCAAAUUAUUGAUGCCCCCCUCGAAACUAUGUUAUCUAUUACAUCACAUCCUUUCUUGUCUUGUGUAGGUUUUGAAAGCACAAAGUAGAGCAAAGAGUAGAGGGUUCUCUGAUGUGCUAUUCCUUGAUUCAGUGAAUAAGAAAAACAUCGAGGAGGUCUCUUCUUGUAACAUCUUCAUUGUGAAGGUACUGUUGAAAUUACAUUUCUCAUUGAUUUAAUUUUUCUCAUCUGGUGCCUAAUUGUUAUCUUCACUGAAUGUAACUCUAACAAAGAAGUGAAAACAUAAGUGAUUAGCAGCUUAGAUUGUUCAAAACAACUUGGGCAGAGAAUUUUGAAACACAUAUCCUUCAGUUUAUUCCCUGCCAUUGUAUUUCUCUCGAAAUUGGAUAGAUAUAGAGGCAGAGCUUAGAGUGUACUUUUCCACCAUUUCAGGAUAAUGUUAUUUCAACUCCAGCUACAGGAGGAACUAUUCUUGAAGGAGUGACUCGAAAAAGCAUUAUUGACAUUGCUCUUGAUCAUGGUUACCAGGUGAAUGUCCAGUAACUUGGUAAAAACAAGAAGCCAGUUUCUGUGCUUAUAUGUUCUGACAAUUUCCCAAAUGGGUUAGGUUAAGGAGCGAUGUAUUCCGGUGGAGGAAGUGAUGGAAGCCGAUGAAGUUUUCUGCACCGGAACCGCUGUUGGUGUAGCUGCGGUGGGAAGUAUUACAUAUCAAGGCAAAAGGUAAAUAGCCAUACUUAAGAUCAUGAAGAACCUCUGCAAGAAGGGAAAUAUUAAGUCCAUACUUAGUGUUGCAUGCCAAUCAUUUUCCUUUGUUGAUGAAUUAAAUAUUAAUGCGCAGGGUGGAAUACAAAUCGGGUGAUCGGUGUGUGAGUCAGGAACUGUUGUCAAUGUAUACGGGGAUUCAAAAAGGUCAUAUUGAGGACAAGAAGGGCUGGAUUCUGGAGAUUGACUAAGCUUUACAUCCACCUCACAUUCAGUGCACCCAACACUUGUACAUCGUGCUGCUAAGAGCAUGGUAUUCCAUAUUCCUAAUAAAAUUGAUGUUUAGACCAAAAGCAUGGACAUCUAAAUUGGGUUUCGUCUUUGUGAAUCCUUACCCCCCUCCGAAACUAUAUCCCAUUCAACCUUACUUUCCCUCCUAUAAUCCUAUCACUUAUCCUUAACUCCCCUGCCUCCACAGGCCCACCCACUCUUCCACAUUUUAAUAACUAAUAUAAGUUCAAAUUCACAUCAUUCAAUAUGGCAACUGGCGCUAGCAAAAAGUCAUGUCUAUAAUAAGAGUAUAUAUUAUGGAGCCAUCUCUAGUAGGAGUCUGGAUCAAAGUUGUGUCUUCAUGUUAUUGAAAAAUGAUUUUCAAAAAAUGAAAUCACAUUCUAAAAAAUCAAUUGCCAAGUAAAAAUCAUGAUUUUAAAAAUAAAAAUUAUGAUUUAAGAAAAUGAUUUUCAUGGAAGUGACCUCGUGGGAUGAAAGAGCUUUAAAAACCUCUUCCACAGGUUAUGGUUCAGCGUUACAAGUAUUUUGUAAUUGUUCUUAAAGAUAGUUUUUGCUUUCAUUAGAGACGAAGGAUUGAGAAAAAAAUUAGAGAGGAAGGAAAAAAGCAAAUAAAUGAAAAAUUGAUUUAAAAUUUUGUCUUAAUUUUUUUUAAAAUAAAAAUUAUUUUGAAAUCCCACGUAAAACAGGCCCUAAAAGUCUCUUCGCCAAAAUGCAAAACUUUAAAAAUAAUUGAACGUGCGAAAGUUUUUUAUUUUGUAAAAGCAUUAAAUGACAUCUAGGUCUGCCCCGAUCUUCCUUCAUCUACCGCGCUCUGGGUUGUCACAUCGCAUGACAUCACACAAAAUCGAUCAAGCUCCAUAUUCUCUCUAAACCUUUUCAAAAGUAUCAAAACUAGAUCUUAUAUGCUUUCAUGCGUCUCUAUUGCCGCGCAAACUAGGGAUGGCAACGGGCCCCGCCCCGUUUAACUUUUUUAUUUUUAUUUUUAUUUUUUAAUUACUUUUAAAUUUGUUAAUUACAUUAAAUUAAAAUAUAUUUUAUAAAUAAUUAAAUUAUUAUAUAUUUUUAUCUUAUUUUAUUAAUUUAUAAAUUAAAAAUAAUAAAAUAAAUUUUAAUUUAAUUUAAUUUUAUAAAUAAUCAGAUGAGAUGAGAAAUACAAAACAGUACUCGAACUCACCUGAAUCUGAAUAACUCCGUCUGAAUCCGAAUAAGUCCGUCCCAUUAUCAUUCUUACUAAAGGGAAAUGGAUUAAGUCAAGGGAUUUGCAUGACCUAGAAAUUUAAGCGACGGGCAUCAAAGAAUUCCAAAACUUCAAAGCAUUUUCAUCGUACAUUAAUUCAAUUAAAUGUAGAACAUAAAUAAUUUUGUAAAAUAUAUAAAAGAAAGUAAGAGGUUUAGUACGAAGCUGAAUUCCUAAUAAAUACAAAACUGUAUGAAAUCAUUGCGUGAUGGCCUGAGUCUGGGGCUAGGACGAUAGGUAGCCCAGCAGUCAGGCCUAGCAAUGGGGAAGGCGGCUUCUAGUACUUGUACGGUCAACCCCAAAAGGCCUUUCCUGCGGGUUCAGGCAUAGAGAAGACGAAGAAGAAGCAGGGUUGCGUGUUUCGUCAUGCCUUGGAAGAAAGUCUCCUUUAGCUAUCAACGUAAAGGGAAGCGGAAGGGCAUGGCUACUCUGAAGAAGGAAAUGCCCAUAGAAAAGACGUCUAUCAUGGCUACUGAAGCAGCAAGGCUGCACAUAGAAAAGAUUAGGACCCAGAAGUUCUCAAUCGGUGCUAAAAGCCCUAAUCCUUUAACUGAAGAUCUCCACCAUGCUGUCACAAGCCUCUCCGCGGAGCUUUACGCCAAAGAUGUUCAUUUUCUCAUGGAGCUCAUUCAGGUACAUAUUUCCCUUCCCGAUGAAUACCUUUAUCAGAAGUAUCUGUAUAUAUACGACCUGCCCUAGAUGAAAGCGUGUUCUUGGUUUCUUGGUGUCCGCUAAAAAUGUAGAAUGCCGAAGACAACGAAUAUAAACAAGGGGUUGAACCAACUUUGGAGUUUGUGUUCACUACCAAAGACAUAACAGGAAGUGGUGCGCCUGCAACGCUGCUAGUGUUCAACAAUGAAGUUGGGUUUUCGGAGAAGAACAUGGAAUCCAUCUGCAGUGUUGGCAGAUCCACCAAGAAAGGGAAGAGACACCUUGGGUUUAUUGGAGAGAAAGGUACUUAUGUCUACUGUCUUGCAUGAAUGGUGUAUUUACUUUACUAGAAUAUAUAAGUCGGUUUUUUUGCAUGAAUAGAAGUGGAUCUAGUCACAAGGAUUUUUAUGAAGAUUUUCUAUGGUAGGAAUAAAGUGGUUGCUUGAAGAGACUUCAACAGUUUAGCAAAACUAUGAAAAAGUUGUGCACGCUAAUUUUGAUAAACAGAGUGCAUCCCAAGAUGUGGGAAGUUGGCAGGCUUGGGCCGAGCAUGACUGCUCUAAGUGGAGACUUUGCCCACCCAAAGCGUAUUUUAACCCAAACCUUGGGCAAACCCAUCAUUUCUAAAUGCAUCAGUUGCUAUUUAGAUUCUUGAUUAAACUUUUGGUCAUUAAGUUCAUCCAUAAGUAAAUUCUGAUUUUAUUUGCAGGCAUUGGAUUUAAGAGUGUGUUUCUUGUGACUAUACAACCUCACAUCUUUAGUAAUGGAUAUCAUGUGAGAUUUAGCGAAGAUCCCGACCAAGAUUGCGGAAUUGGUUAUAUAGUUCCUGAAUGGGUUGGUGGGAAACCUUAUCUUUCAACUAUUUGUGAUAUAUAUGGGUCCGACAAGGUCUUGCCAACGACCAUAAUUCUCCUCCCUCUGAAACCCGAGAAGGUGGAAGCUGUGAAAGCACAACUGUCAGAGUUGCACCCAGAGCUUCUCCUCUUCCUAUCCAAGAUAAAGCGGUUAUCAGUAUGUGGAAAUACUUGCAAUUCUAAAGAAGAUGUCAACGUAUCUGAUAUUUUCAUAUCCACUGAGACUGAUCAUGUGGCUUUGAGUGACAAAAGUGCAGAUUCACGUGUACUUCAUCUUUCAGUUAAAGAGGAUGGGGCUGAGGAGACAUGCCGAUAUUAUAUAUGGAGAGAAACAUUUCCUGUGAAGCCUGCUAAUGAGUUUAGUGCGAGGAACGAUGUAAAGAAAUGUGUUAUUUCUAUUGCUUUUCCAUUUGGGGAGAGAUUGAAAAGGGGAACUUCUGCUGUUGGUAUCUUUGCCUUCCUUCCCACCGCAAUGAUCACAAAUUUCCCAUUUGUUAUUCAGGCAGAUUUUGUUCUGGCCUCCUCGCGCGAAACAAUACUCUUGGACAACAAGUGGAACCUGGGGAUUCUUGAAUGUAUCCCUUCUGCAUUUUUUCAUGCUUUUAUUUCUUGUGUGAAAAAAGAUGCCACUACUAUUUGUUCAGUGGCGCAGGCAUUUGAAUUUUUGCCUGCUCGGUCUUCUACAAUUCUUGAGCUGAACAACAUAAGAA
rnacentral:lncRNA from 1 species